rnacentral:tRNA from 1 species
UGUAGCUCAGAGGUUGAGCAUCUGCUUAGCAUGCAGGAAGCCCUAGGUUUGAACCCCAGUA